UACGUAGGGUGCAAGCGUUAAUCGGAAUUACUGGGCGUAAAGCGUGCGCAGGCGGUUUUGUAAGACCGAUGUGAAAUCCCCGGGCUUAACCUGGGAACUGCAUUUGUGACUGCAAGGCUAGAGUGUGUCAGAGGGAGGUGGAAUUCCGCGUGUAGCAGUGAAAUGCGUAGAGAUGCGGAGGAACACCGAUGGCGAAGGCAGCCUCCUGGGAUAACACUGACGCUCAUGCACGAAAGCGUGGGGAGCAAACAGG
rnacentral:rRNA from 1 species